AGCUGCAGCCUUGUGAGAUGGAGGGGGGGUCUGGUUUGCAGAGGCUUCUCGCCAGUGUUGUUGGCGGUUAUUAAAAGCAUGAUGCAUAAGGUUGUCAGACAGACAGGAAGCAUGUAGGAAUGCAGAAGGCUGCAAAAGUGUGCGGCUGAAACGACGGAACGGGAAAAAGAUUUCUGCUCAGCUUCCAGGUAUGUGAGGCCCGACGCACAAGGAGAGGCUCAUGUAGGUUCAUGCCUCUAUAUCUCUGCCCCUGGAGCUUUCCGAUGAAGGAAUAUCCACGUUAAAGCCGAGCUGUCUCAAUACUGGAACUGAAUUCUAACACAAUCUGUCGGAAUCUAAGAGGUUUGGAAGGAUGUCUGAGCCGGUGUGCUUCCAUCUUGGCUGCAGUUACCCAUGGUGACAUCCUGGACCUGCCGGGCCCCAACCAGUCUUCAAGGUCACCUCCUUGAAACACCAUCGCUCCUUUGUCCUCCUCCUCAGUCAGGAAGCCCAUCACACAGCCGGUCCGGCUGGACUUGAAUACUUUGCCUCAUUUAAUACAAACCGUGCAAAUGUUGCCAACCCGUCUCUAGUACAAUAUGGGAUUAAACCAGGCAAUAUAAAGUGGCUAACUGAUGUAGUGAAAUGUGUAAUGGGUGUAGGUCUCAGCGGAGGGGGUUUAUCUGCUAAAUCCCAGCAGUUGGCCCUGCUAUCAUGGACAAUGACCCAAAAUAAUGUCAACAGCUCAUUUCCACCAGAGCUGGGCUUAUGUGUGGGGGAGUGUGUGGGUGUGUGUGUGUGUGUGUGUGUCCUGGGGAUACAGAGGUAUACAGUAUAUAAGCUUCUGGCAGCGAUACUGGCUCAACAGCAGACUGAUGUGAUUGAUAGGAUUUUUGCUCGGCUCACCACUUUUAGGGUCAAAGAAUCCAUAAGAGGUUAAAUUUAUAGAUGCUGAGUCAAAGGAUUGCUGAUUCAAUUCCAUUCGCCAUUUGAAGUGAGUUUGUUGCUUUUGUUUGAAGAUAUGUACAGAAAUAAAAAUCCUUGAAAUGCUCAAUAAAACACAUUGAAGAAAGCCUUCCUGUUUUUGUGUCCUUUUAAAAAACAUGAAUGGAAGAAAAAGCAUGAAUGAAUAAAUUUUAGUCCUUAGCCAAUCAAAAUGAAAACAAAACUUUUAACAUUUGAA